AUUGAACGCUGGCGGCAGGCUUAACACAUGCAAGUCGAGCGAGCGGCGGACGGGUGAGUAAUGUCUGGGAAACUGCCUGAUGGAGGGGGAUAACUACUGGAAACGGUCGCUAAUACCGCAUACCAUCAGAUGUGCCCAGAUGGGAUUAGCUAGUAGGUGGGGUAAUGGCUCACCUAGGCGACGAUCCCUAGCUGGUCUGACAGGAUGACCAGCCACACUGAAACUUAGACACGGUCCAGAUGCCGACGAGAGGGAGCAGGGGGGAAGAUUGCACAAUGGGCGGAAGCCUGAUGCAGCCAUGCCGCGUGUGUGAAGAAGGCCUUCGGGUUGUAGAGCACUUUCAGCGAGGAGGCGUUAGUCGCAGAAGAAGCACCGGCUAACUCCGUGCGAGCAGCCGCGGUAAUUC
rnacentral:rRNA from 1 species